AAAACCAACAAACCUCUUGUUCAUUCUCGAAGCGACAACCUCGCUUCAACCUUCCCUCCUUUUCGUUUUGAAAGGAGCGAUGAAUGCGUAAAAUACAGCGUUUGUGAAGACACCGUUGUGGUUCCAUGACGUAAUUAUUAUGAUCUUUCAAGAUUUCAUCGUUGUGAUGUCAUGGCCUUCCCUCUGCUACUGAUGAGUCGGGAUCAAACUUCGUCCUCGCUUUGUACAACAUAUCUGACGGGCAUGAAAUUUUAAAUGUAGCAUCCCUCCGUAGAGUCAACUCAAGGGAAGUGACUGCGAUAUGGACUAAAAAGAGAAUAUUCUGGAGUCUUGUGGCUAGUCUUGUGAUGCCUUUACAAGGCUUGUAUCGAUGCCAUUGCGAAGAAAACGUUGGUUUAAUCGAGUGAAUGUUGUGGAAUGUAAUGAAGGCCGAUUUCAGGAACGCAGGUCGCGUUUCGGAUCGGAUCUUCGCGGUGUUAUACAACCUGUGGAUUACUAUCUUCCUGUUCGCCAUCUUUGCUAAAGUAGUUCACAAUGUGGAGUCAACGCCCAGCGCGAAUUUCAGCGAAAAAUGUGUCCUACUAGGGACUCCAGAGCAGAAUGUUACACUCAUGCAAGGCCUGGAUAACCCUAAGAUAACAACGCGGGUUCUUUCCCAUGUGGGAGGUAUACAAGAAUGUGUGGAGGCUGCGUGCAAGCAGGACAAUAUCUCUCUGAUCUACCUAUCUCGCAACACAUGCUUUGGAGUGGAUUGUCAUGGGCAAAAAGAGGCAUGUCGGUUAUCGCCAAGUUUUGAUAAUCCUUCGUUUGUUUUUGCGAGAGUGCAAAGAACUCUUUCUGUGGGUGAUCCGUUAAAGAUCGAAACAGUAAGAAAACGAAGAGAAGAAAAGAUUCAAGCAGAUUCCUUAUUUAGCGAUUCUCACGAUACCUCGCACCAAAGUAAUAUUAUCCCUGAAUCAACGAUCGGUACUUCUUAUAUAAGAACAAUAGAUAAAAGAUCUUCUUACAGCAUGGACGAUUCUUCGUCGCCCCCGUAUUUGCGUAAAAGGAGGCGAAAAAUCAUAGAGGUCCAAGAUAGGGGAUUCCUCUCAAAUAAUGAUCAAGGUGCGGAUGAUGACGAUGUAUUGUUGAUUGAUGCUUUGAAACGCUUUAAAAGAGAGGAUGUUGACGAUGAUGAGGAAAAGCCGUGGGUAGGAGACAAAGCCAGUUCUUUGGUUACGACAGAUACAGAAGGACUAAAUGAGAAGGAGGAAGUUGUUGAUAAGGAAAGGCUGCGCAGAUUUAAAAGAACUGAUGAAGAUGACGAUAACGAUGAUGAUGAUGAUGAAACUAAAACACUGAAUAAAAUUCUCUCCUCAAAAUCAUUAAGUAAUGACAAAGUGGAAAACACGAGAACAAAGCAAGCAAAUAAAAUGAAUCAAAAUUCUGCAUCACUUUCGGCUAUACAAGAGACAAAGACCUUAAGAAAGGAAAAGCCAAUAAUUGAGGCAUCGGAAUCCAUACAUGUUACUGGGAAUUUAACCAAAAGGCCAAACAAGAUUGCAUCUAAUCAUACAUCUUUCUCUACGAAAAAUGGAAAUUCAGACAAUGCAGUUAAAAUUUCUGUGCAGCAAAAGUUAAUUAAUGCUGGGGUCAGCAGUUUUUUAAUAGAGAAACAAGCAAGAACACAAUCUGUAUCAUCAGAAAGCCAUAUCCAGAUACCGACACCAGGAGGGACAUCACAAGCUUUAUCAACGAGCGGCAAUUCGUCUUCACCAUCGUCGUCCAAAAUACAAUCGUCAGGAUCAAUUACGAUUUCUAAAUCACCUGCCGAUAAAUCAAUGGGUAAACAAAGACAGGAACAAAACGGCAAAAAACAUAUGAUUCCACAGUCCACCUCGACAGAAAGUCGAGUUUCGAUUUCGCUAUCAGGUAGUCAGCCGCAGUCGUCAACAUCUUCAUCAUCUUCCAAUUCCCAAUCAUCGUCAUCAUCAUCAUCAGCAUCAACAUCUGCAACUAUUUCGAUAUCCAAAUCAUCAGUAGACAAAUCAACAAAAAAACAAGGACACGGCAAAGGAAAGAGCAACAAACGUAUGAUUCCACAGUCAUCUACAGAGAGUCAAGUUUCGAUUUCCGUGUCAGGAAGUCAGCCACAGUCGUCAACAUCUUCAUCAUCUUCUAAUUCCCAAUCAUCACCAUCAUCAUCUUCGUCGACGACAUCUGCAACUAUUUCGAUAUCCAAAUCGUCAGCAGAUAAAUCAACAAGAAAACAAGGACAUGGCAAAGGAAAGAGCAACAAACGUAUGAUUCCACAGUCAUCUACAGAGAGUCAAGUUUCGAUUUCCGUGUCAGGAAGUCAGCCACAGUCGUCAACAUCUUCAUCAUCUUCGAAUUCCCAAUCAUCACCAUCAUCAUCUUCGUCGACGACAUCUGCAACUAUUUCGAUAUCCAAAUCGUCAGCAGAUAAAUCAACAAGAAAACAAGGACAUGGCAAAGGAAAGAGCAACAAACGUAUGAUUCCACAGUCAUCUUCAGAGAAUCAAGUUUUGAUUUCCGUGCCAGGAAGUCAGCCACAGUCGUCAACAUCUUCAUCAUCUUCUAAUUCCCAAUCAUCACCAUCAUCAUCUUCGUCGACGACAUCUGCAACUAUUUCGAUAUCAAAAUCGUCUGCAGAUAAAUCAACAAGAAAACAAGGACAUGGCAAAGGGACGAACAAUAAACGUAUGAUUCCACAGUCGUCGUCUGCAGAAAGUCAAGUUUCGAUUUCGAUAUCAGGUAUUCAGCCGCAGUCGUCAACAUCUUCAUCAUCUUCUAAUUCCCAGUCAUCGUCAUCAUCAUCCUCAGCAUCAACGUCUGCAACCAUUUCGAUAUCCAAAUCAUCAGCAGAUAAAUCUACCCAGAAGCAAACAAAAUCAAAGCCAAGACCGGCAAAACGGUCCUACCCCCAAUCGACAGAUACGACACAUACAAGUAUUCAGAUUUCUAGUAAUGGAAGUCCACAGACAUCUGUAAGUAGCACAAGCUCAUCGACAUCUACAAACUCGGGGUCAUCACAAUCGUCCAAAACAUCACAAACAACAUCCAUAACAAUAUCCGAUAAAUCAUCAAAAAAGUCCUCGUCUAAAGACCCAAAAAAAUCAUCACUGCUUCCCUUCUUAAAUAAGGCAGCCAUUCGUGGGUCAUCACCUGAGAUGCCAAGGAAAAAGUCGGACAAAGAAAUAAAUAAAAAAUUGCGACUUAAGGAAAUAAAGCUAAAGGAUGUGGACACUAAAGGAAGAAAACGUUCACCACAAACCACGCAGACGACUAAUAUCCAAAUAUCUGCUCCAGGGGGUAGAACGUCAACCUCAUCGACGUCCACAUCUAGCUCCUCGACAUCACCUUCUUCCUCGUCCUCUAAAACAUCUUCCACGACGACGAUAAAUAUAACAAAUCAGGACAAAUUUCAAGGAAAAAAAAGAAAAAAGAAAACGUCAGGUGAUUCUAAAAUGCACAGAAGGGAUGCUCCAAAGCCUUUAUUAGCCAACGUAAAAACCCAUGAGAGGUCAUCAGGAUUUUCAUCAAAAACCUCAUUAUCAUCAUCUCCAGUGGCUGCAAAUAGCUCAUCAUCGAGUAAAAGACCGGAUGUUCCGCAAUCUUCAUCGAGACAGAGGCAAGUCCAUGUAUCUCCUGCUCCGUCAUCAACAUCAUCGUCAUCAACUAGCACAUCAGCAAAUCCUUCCUUAACUUCUCCAAUUAUGGUGGCGUUAAACGCAAAAUCAGACAUGACAAAAAAGUCAAUUAAACACAAGAAGGCCGCGAGCGACAAGAAUGGCGAUAAGAAAACCUCAACGUCUUUAAAGAAGACACAGCACGCAAGGUCAACCAAAAUGAAAAAGCAAAAUAAUCCAUCAUCGAAGACAAAGCCAACAAAGCGUCAAUCAGAGCCCAAUGAUUCAUCAGUAAAAUCUCCAGGUGAAAAGGACGAUAAGAUUCGCCGACAAGUGUGGUAUGGUCCUAGGAAUAACCCUAGCGGAAUAACACUACAAGAAGUCGGUCCAUUUUCGAGAUCUGCGUAUUCUGGGCAACCCUCAAGGUUCAGCCAACAACUAUCACCAAGAAGUUACACAUCCUUUCAAGAUAAUCCAAUCAACAGGAUGACCAUGCAGCCCCAACCUGGCAGUAUUGACUGGAGAACAAAUCCGCAGAGAGCAAUAACCCGUAUUGAGUUCCCGAUAACUGCCGGGGGGUACGGUGUCGGGAUUCCAACACUACGACCUUAUAUUACAUCAUCAACACAUGGUCCCAGUAAACCUCUCAUUCCCUUAAACACAAUCCGGCCAUACAUGGGACGAGAGACAUUCCCCAGGAAUCAACUACCACGGAUUCAGAUGAGCAAUACGUACGUAGAACGAACCAGGUUUCCUAGCCUGUCCGUUAGACCUGCAGUAACAGGAAUGACACCAUUGAUGGAGGCUGUUGUCAAUAGUCGUGAAACUAUAGGAAGCUACGGUAGAGCUGGCUCUGAUACAUUAGAACCCAGUUGCCGCGCGGCCGUGGGGAUACAGAGCGGUGCAAUACAAGACUCGCAGAUGACGUCAUCUAGUGAAUUCUCAAAAUUCCAUACGGCAAGUCGAGGAAGACUGCAGAACACGGCAUCUUCAGGGGGUCUCGCCGGGGCCUGGUGCUCAGGUGGUGAUCACGUGGACAAGGCCCAGUUCCUUCAAGUCGACCUAGGCAAGCGCAGCCGAGUCUGCGGCGUGGCUACCCAGGGCAUGCACGAGCGUCCACUCUGGGUGACGUCAUACACUCUAGAGUUUAGUAAUAAUGGCCGCAUAUGGGCGGACUAUACGGAAAGCGGGCAUCUUAAGCUUUUCAACGGCAAUUUCGACCAAGACUCGAUCGUGACAAACCCCCUCAAACAACCAAUCACAGCCCAGUACGUGAGAGUAAGGCCAAGGUCGUGGAAUGGUGCCAGUAUCUGUAUGCGAGCAGAGCUGUAUACGUCACAUGACGAGCAGUCACGUGACAAUGCUCGUGACAAAAUUCCUGAAAAGGGGCUAAUAGUGUAUUUGGAUUUCGAUGGUGAAGCCGCUGGCCUGUACCGUCGUAUGGAUAUCAGUAGGGCUCCCGGAGUGUGUGGUGACGUGGCGCGCAUGCGUGAUGGCGGGAGCGUUGCGUUAGACGGCAGUCAACUGAAGACAAAACCCGGUGCUGCCGUUACCAUAGCAGCGUGGAUUCGAUUGGAGGACACAAAUGGAGUACAUACCAUAUUUGGCACGUCCGGUGAUCACGUGGAUGUGGCUGAUGGUCAGGUGAUCAGUAGUGGAGGUCAGUAUCGACUGGAGGUACGCGACGGAGCUGUCAAUUGGUAUCAUAGCAACAGCGAUACGGGUGACGUCUUCAAGAUUAAAACAGAGCCAGUGAUUAAAGCUAAGAAAUGGACUCACAUUACUGGAACCUACGAUGCACAUACGGGACUCGCCAAGGUGUACACCGAUGGUCACGUGACUGCACAGGCUCAUGGUACUGGUCAGCUUUCCGACGACUGGGGAGAUCAAGCGACUGUUGGUAGAACAAAAAAGGGAGAUUUCCUUGAUGGGACUAUUGACGAGUUUAGGGUCUACAACAGAGCCUUAGGGGACGCCGAAAUACAAAAUCUCAUUAAUAUGUGUAACUACAGUCAAGAUUGUGGAUCGACUUUAAGAGCGUCAGAAGGCACCAUCAACUCCCCCAACUGGCCACAGGGCUACAAAGGCAGCAAGACGUGCACGUGGCGAAUCUCCGUCAACCCCUCGGACAGCAUCGCGCUUUUCUUCAACUCCUUCAACCUUCAGGAAGAUGGAAACUGCGAUAAAUCCAAGCUGGCGGUUCGUGACGGUGGGAACGAGAGCGCGCAUGAGAUCGGCGCAUUCUGUGGCCUAAACAGCCCGCGUGUGAUGCGCUCUAAGGGAGGGGAGCUAUGGAUUCAGUUUACGAGUGCUGACGACGGAGAGGGGAAAGGCUUCCAUCUGACAUAUAAAGCAGAGCCAAAUCGCGAGACCAAGAAACAAGAGGAGCCGGUUCCUCCCUCUAAAAGCCCCCAAUGCUACGUCUCCACCCCCGAACACAACGUCACCCUGACAGGCGGCAUCAAGUCGGGAGUAUUCACGGAGGCACCUGAGGCCUCCAGCCUCGACACAUGCACACGAGCGUGCUGCCUGAAGCCUUCCUGUGACAUAUCAUUCAUGAUCAGCUCAAGCUGUUAUCUCGUGACGUGUUAUAGCGAAGAGCUGUGCAAGACUAAGCGAGCAAGGGCUUCAAGUUUGCAUCCGACCAUCGUGUUUCUACGACACACGGAUAAGGGCCAGAAACAAAUAGGUCAAGAUCAACUACUAAACAACGAUGCUCUGCAGUACAAUCCUACCCAACCCCACCCCCAAAGGGAACAAAAAUGUCACCACACCGAAGUUAGCCACAAUGUAACGUUGGUUGGGGGAAUAAAGGCGGGAAAAUUCAACACGUACGGCCGCAUGGAUAACAUGGAUGACUGUAUACGUCACUGCUGCCAUGACGACAAGUGCAACGUAGCAUUCAUGAUUCAGGGUAACUGUUAUUCGGUGGACUGUGUGGACAAGGUGGGAUGCGCAAUGAAGCGCGCAAAGCCAUCGCCGUACAACCCUACGCUGGCGUAUGUGUACCGAGGAAUGCAGAAGCCUAUAGCUGAACCACUCAAGAAGCCAUCUCAACCCAACAAGCAAGCGUGCGACUCAUUCGAUGUAUCAUCCACCCUAUCCAACGUGACCCUAGAAGGGGGAGUCAAGUCUGGCAAGUUCACGGACCGUGGAGUAGUGGGUAGUAUGGAGGAGUGUCGCUCAUUCUGUUGCGCCGAGGACACGUGUAAUGUUGCGUUCACCAUCCGCUCAAACUGCUUCCUCGUGGCGUGCAAGGAUUACGAUUCUUGCAAAGUGAAGCCGGCUCUCUCCGAUUACUAUCACCCCAGGCUCGCGUACGUCAAUUGGAGUCCACCAGACGCCGAGGUGCCAGCUGGCUCUAAAUUCGCUUCGCUGGGUUGCUGGAGGGAUACAGAGGGCAUCGCCAUUCCGUCCCUCGAGGGAGCCGAGACCACGCUCAUGGAUACGUAUGACAUGCGGCCUAAACCAAUCGACACAUGCGCAAACGCAGCCUCUAAACAUGGCUACAAAGUGUUUGCUAUUCAGCGUGGCGGGGUUUGUCUGAGCGGUCCCCAUGCCGAGGAGACGUUCAACAAGUUUGGCGAGUCUUCUGACUGCAAGGAUGGCCGAGGAGGGAAGUUUGCAAACGACGUGUACAGACUCAACCCAGAUGCUUCCUACACACCUAUUGGUUGCUGGAGAGACUCUUCCCAGCGUGCAUUGCGAAGCAUGGAACACACGGACACUAAGCUCGACGACUUCUACCUGUCACGUGACAGCCCCAUCGAGAAAUGCGCAAGUGUGGCACAGAAACGAGGCUACCCAGUCUUUGCACUGCAGAAUGGCGGGGAGUGUUACAGUGGACCUGGGGCCGAAACAGAGUAUACCAAGUUUGGUGUGUCACGUGACUGCAGAGGAAAGUUGGGUGGACCAUAUGCGAACAGUGUCUUCCGACUGAUAGGAAAAUUCGAUUCCGAGAAUGUUCCUACCAUCGCUAACACGACAGACUCGGAUGGCUCUACAAAACAAAGCAUGUCUAAGCCAAACGCAAGCGGGACUUUCGUCGUCGACAAAGCCCCGGCAAGUGACGAACCAACACCGACAAAUUCCGGGGUUUCUUCGAGCGGUACCGGGAGCUCAACCGACGAGUUAUCAAGCAUGCAGGAGGACUUUGUUACAAUGCAAAACGGAGUCCCGAAGCGUAUCCACUACACUGCUGGCCCGAUACACGAAAACGUCACGCUGAAAUACGGAAUUAGCUCCGGCAAAUUCAUGGACCAAGGCAGGGUUCGAACUAUCCACGAGUGCAUCCGAAUGUGCGGCCGACAGCCCGAUUGUGACCUCGCAUUCAUGCUUGGUGUCCAGUGCUUCUCGGUUGGGUGCAAAUCCAAGUCGCUAUGCGUCACCAAGCCGGCGUUCUCGGCGUUUUAUAAUCCCAAGAUCACAUUUGUCACGCACAGGAAAGUCUUCGAGGCCGUCUCCUCGCAUAAGCGAUGUCAGUCCAGUUUUAUAGAGAAUGACGUUACACUACAAGGAGGCAUCAACGCCGGCAAAUUCACGGACCUCGGUCAGAUGACCGAUAUGCGAGAAUGCGUCCAGCGGUGUUGUGCCAAGAGCACAUGCGACGUAGCGUUCAUGCUGGAGGACGAAUGCUAUGGCGUUAGCUGUAUUAGUAAUACACUUUGCAAGACACGGCCCGCUAGGAACCCCGGGAGAUAUAAGCCGAAAGUGGCUUAUGUCUACCAUGACGGUAAAGGGCUGGAUAGCGCAGAAGAAUUGACGAGAAACGACACUGCUACUCGCACGAGAGGAAGCCACUACAAACUGUCAAAUAACUUGAAAAGCCUGUCAAACCUGUCUGAUGACCUGAAAAACCUGUCAAACCCGACUAACGGCCUUAAAAACCUGUCAAACCUGACUGAUGAUCUACAGCACCUAUCAAAUCAAAACACCCUGUCAAACCUGAGUAAUCAGAUGAUGUUUAAGGCAUCGUCCCAGCAUCUAACACCGCUAAACAUCCAGCCCAAUAAUACUAUUAGCGCCAUUGACCCAGACCACAACACUACAGAUCUUGGCAAACUUAAAUUACUGACAGCAUUACAAAUGACCGGAACGAUGACCAAUGACCAAUCACUUAGUACUGAUAACAGCAUUAGGAAAUGGGACAACAAUUUCGGAAACUCCCAAAAUGUUACACACGACACGUAUGAUAAAACAUCUCGAGCGAACCUAAGUCUAAGCACGAUUCAGAUGAUGAAUGCUACUAACACUAAGGAGACAAAUUUACAAGGACUUUGGAUGCCUAUAAAACUACUGCACGAAGAUACAGCUAUGGGAGGCACGGGGUCUAAGAAAGCAGCAAUAAAGAAUUUAAACGACUAUUCAAUUAAGAUGCCUGUAAAGGGCAUGUAUCUGCAUCGGGUUGACCAUACUAGGAGGCCAAUGGAAAAUGAAACGGUCGUAUUAAACACAAAAACAGACAACGAAGAGGCCUCUAAGAACAUAAACGCAGGCAUAACAAUCUUCCAUGACUUAACGAAAAACGCAAAAGUCAUUGGGUCGCCACCUGUCGUAGAUAACAUAACAAGAGACGCAGCGACUGACGCUAAGAGCAUAAGCACAGAUGUUAAAACUAUUUAUGACUUAAAGGGAAACGCAACAGUCGCUAUGACGCUACCUAUCGUAGGAAACAUAACAAGAGUCGCAGCGACUGCUAAGAACGUUAACGCAGACGUAACAAUCGAUUUAACAGCGAUCAAUGUCAGCAAGACCGAGGGCAGCGCGAUGUCACCCACAGGGUCCCCGCCCAAUGAUACACACGUCUGCUGGGACAGUGACGUGCUUUAUAACCAGACGCUGAUUGGUGGAAUUAACGCGGGAGUUUUCACGGACAAUGGAAAGGCGUCCACGAUGGAUCUGUGUAUGCAGUUUUGUUGCAAGCGUAAGGAUUGCGACUUGGCGUUCAUGAUCGAGGAUGAUUGUUACUCUGUAGCGUGUAGCAGUACGAGGUCGUGUAAGACGAGGAAGGCAAGGCCUACGCAGUUCUAUCCACGCAUCGCCUUCACGCGUAAAUUCCGAGGAGAAGCGUCGAAGGCAGUUAGUGGUUUAGUAUCAGGAGACACCAUCACGCCCGAAACAGCGAGCAGCGAUGACGCAGCGGACAGCGGGAAGCCUUCACCCACCACCGAGCCAACGGCUGGCAUGAGUGUAAAGCAACCAAUCAAAGUCCAUCAUUCCUGCUCGGCCACCCCAAUCAAGUACAACGUCACGCUCCGUAUGGGCCUUCACUCGGGUCUCUUCACCAAAAUGGGACGCGUAGACAGUAUGGACGACUGUAUCGAGCUCAGCUGCAAGAAAGACAAGACGGACGUCGCCUUCAUGAUGGGGCAGCAUUGUUACUCGGUGCAGUGCUACAGUGAAGACCUGUGUAGGACGGAGCCUGUCUAUGGGACUACCAUUUCGGGGCUUAACUUGACGCCGGCAGUAUCGUUCUUGAGGAAUAACCCUGGCACUAGCGGCACAGAGCUUGCUUACCAAGACAAUCCCCGAGAGCAGUGCCUCGGUUCCAGCAUCACCUACAACGUCACCCUCAGAGGAGGCAUCAAAGCAGGUAAGUUCCGCGAGCAAACAGACGUACGGAGCAUGCGCGACUGUGUCUCAAAGUGCUGUGACGAGUCCUCAUGCGACCUGGCCUUCAUGUUCGGCGAGCGCUGCUAUUCGGUCACGUGUCAAAGCGAGAAGCUCUGUCAAGCGGUGAUGGCGAAACCGACCAAUCUCCAGCCCAAGAUAUCCUACCUCAGCAAAAACUACGGCGGUGAUAGAGGCAUAAGCCUGGCAGAGACGGGUUUAGACACCAAGCAGCCAACUUGCAAGGAGGACGACAUCGCGCGCACUCACAUCGCGAGAAAUAAGACUCUCGCUGGCGGACUUGAGGCAGGAACCUUCAAGUUCUUGGGGAAAGUCAAAGCGAUGAAGAGCUGUAUGCGCAUGUGCUGUGCGCUCAGGUCAUGUGACGUGGCGUACAUGUUCGACAGAAAUUGCUUCUCGAUCUCGUGUUUUUCCCCGGACUUAUGUCACGUGACGGACUUCCCGACAUCCAACGGGGACGUUGAAAUCUCCACCAUGGUCAAAACCGUUAAGAAGGAGAAGUUGCCUGAAGAAACACACUCCGUCAUCGUGUACAUUGUAGUCGGCGCUGUGCUCCUACUUGCAGGCGUGGCGGGAAUAGUUUGGGCCGUCUGUAUGUUCCUUAGGAGGUACGAACUGCUGGAAUGCCGCGGUAACCGUUAAAGAGAAGUGAAACUAUCCGAAGAACGAAUAGUUUUGAUUUCGAGGACCAAACGGGAAUAGGGUGGCGGAAGUCAAUCAGACAUCGCUUGAAGAUGCGGCACCAGCAGAGGAGAGAUAGCACGUGAUCAACACAUGACGCCUGAUGUGAAACCAAAAUCACAAGAUACGCACCUAACCGGAGCCAUCUCACAACCUACUCCAGCGGCGCCACCACAACAAGCGCAUCUCAGUGACACCUAACAGCGCUCUACAUAUGUACAGUUAAGGAGACAAAUAGAACAGAUCGUAGUGUAUAGACAGGAUAUACAAAGUACACGCCUUCCAGCAACACACCAUAUAAGAACAUUCAAGCAACGGUGACAACGGCGUCAUGGAGAACGUGAUCCAAAAUAUUCGUCCAUGCUUAGCGAUCAAUUCUCAACUUUUAGUCCCAAAUACGCAAAGAUAAACUCAAACUUGAUUUCCACAAAGAUAGUUUCGCUACAGCGAGUCCAUACUCGUCCUUGCAAGAAGAUUUUUCCCAUCGAGGUCAGAGGGAAAGCGGUUGGGAUGUAUCUGAGCGCGUUUCACGUCUGGCUAUUUGAAAUUUCCAUUUUUUCUGACAUCAUUGCCGUCCCUGAUGCCGUCGUCGUUGAUCAAUUCCCUGUUACUAGGAUGCAAAGUCUCUGAGCUUUUGCUCACAAAGUAACAACUAGGCGAAAUACUGUUGUAGAUAAAAACUAUACACAUCGUGUUUGAAGCGGAAACAAUCAUUCCCAAAUCUAGAAUUUGCAAGUGACAUUAGAUCAAUAAGACAUACAUGCGAGUUUUUGCAUGAUAACGCUUGAUUGGUCAAUAAAAUUGUGGCUUCGAUCACUGCAUGAUUUCAGUAGAUACCUGCAUGAUUUCAGAAAUCGAUUUUUUAUAUGAGUCUGACGCAGCUUGGCAAAGUAGGCAAUGAUUGGCUACAAGGUCACGUGACGAGUAUGGGUGACUUCUACAGUAUGUAACUUAACGAAGUCCAGUUUUAAUGGACGUGAAAUUACAACUCAUUGUAAAUUCCGUAUUAAAAAUUUGAGUAUCAUUUUUUUAAUAAAGAUCUUCCACAAACA